rnacentral:rRNA from 1 species
GAGUUUGAUCCUGGCUCAGGAUGAACGCUAGCGGCAGGCUUAAUACAUGCAAGUCGUGGGGCAGCGCAGGUAGCAAUACUGGGCGGCGACCGGCAAACGGGUGCGGAACACGUACACAACCUUCCGAGAAGUGGGGAAUAGCCCAGAGAAAUUUGGAUUAAUACCCCGUAACAUAACGAUGUGGCAUCACAUUGUUAUUAUAGCUUCGGCGCUUCUUGAUGGGUGUGCGGCUGAUUAGAUAGUUGGCGGGGUAACGGCCCACCAAGUCUACGAUCAGUAGCUGAUGUGAGAGCAUGAUCAGCCACACGGGCACUGAGACACGGGCCCGACUCCUACGGGAGGCAGCAGUAAGGAAUAUUGGUCAAUGGACGCAAGUCUGAACCAGCCAUGCCGCGUGAAGGAUUAAGGUCCUCUGGAUUGUAAACUUCUUUUAUCUGGGACGAAAAAAGGCGAUUCUUCGUCACUUGACGGUACCAGAUGAAUAAGCACCGGCUAACUCCGUGCCAGCAGCCGCGGUAAUACGGAGGGUGCAAGCGUUAUCCGGAUUCACUGGGUUUAAAGGGUGCGUAGGCGGGCAGGUAAGUCAGUGGUGAAAUCCUAGAGCUUAACUCUAGAACUGCCAUUGAUACUAUCUGUCUUGAAUAUUGUGGAGGUAAGCGGAAUAUGUCAUGUAGCGGUGAAAUGCUUAUAUAUGACAUAGAACACCUAUUGCGAAGGCAGCUUACUACGCAUAUAUUGACGCUGAGGCACGAAAGCGUGGGGAUCAAACAGGAUUAGAUACCCUGGUAGU